rnacentral:misc_RNA from 1 species
GCAUAUGACUACUGGCAGGAUCAACCAGGUAGCAUUCCUCAUUCGACAUCAACAACGCAUGAGACGAUUCGCAAGGAUUCGUUCAACACGUGAAUGAUUGUCAUUCGCACGAAGCGUGGGACGCUCGAUUUGGGGCAAACCAAGGUUUAAAUGACCUUGCAACCGCUCAAUGUUCCGUACCCGAGAAACCACGCACAACAUCAUGAUUCAACAAUCCAAGCACAGCUAAGUGGCGUGAAAAGUGAAACACAAUGAGUGCUACAAAGUCCACCAAACGCCGCAUCCCGAAGGGUUCAACGCUGGAUGGAUGACCGAAUAUUCCAACAAAGCAAUGCCCUCAAAUUAGGAACUCAACACAAGAAACCAAAAACGAUCAAGACAUGCUCAAUCCGACAACUGAAAAGGGACGCACACACGCUGACUAUGCUCAAGCAGGGAUCCAACGUGCCAAUACAAACCAAACACCACUCA